rnacentral:antisense_RNA from 1 species
CGCCAAGACAGGUGCCUGGGCCGCGCCGCCCCGCCCCGCCCUACCUGGGCGGGGUUGGGACCUUUCUGGCACCUGCAUCGAAGCCGGCGGCAGGGUGGACUUCGUUGUCCCGGUCCCAGACUACCCUCCUCCACCGCCGCCUCCCACUGCAAAAGGGCCUAGAUAAGGAACCUAAUUCGAGCUAUCCUUCUCUGUGAAGUCCGACGGCUGAGAACGUCAGGGCUCGUUCCCAGGUCUCUUUCCAGAGGCUAAGCUUUAUGCGAGCAUGGGUUACCAGCGAUGCAUCCUGAUCAAGCAAAGAAAGAGAGGCUGGAGAAGGAAGAGUGACAGAAGUAAGAGGAGAGUGUCUGUCCACUUCCACUCCAGCCCCCUACAGCUCAUCCUCCAGCAGGCAGCCAAGGGCACUUAUAGGAUCUCACAUCAGGUCGUUGCCUCACAUUCUGCACUGGCUUCCCAAGUAAUUAAAGUAAAAUCCAAAUUCCAGCUCGCAGCUUAGAAAACUCAGCAGGACUGGCCUCUGUCCUAUCCCACCACCUCAGUCCCUCAGGCUCAUCUCCUGUCACUCCUGCCCAUUUCUGGACCCCAGCCAUUCCUCAAACAGGGUAAGCCCAUUCCUGCUUCAGGGCCUUUGUACAUAUUGUUUCCUCUUCCUGGAAUCUUCUUUCUUGUACAGCCCCAGGGUUUUCUUUUUUUCAUCCAGAUCACAGCACAGAUGUCACAUCCUGAUAACAGCCAGCUGUGACUCAUCUCCCUAAUUCUCAAUCGCAUUACCCUCUUUUUAUUUUCUUCAUAUCGUAACUGAUAGUCUCAUACAGUACAGAAGCUAAGUUUUAAGAUAUGCAAUCACAAAAUACCUGCUACACAAACCUCAAUGUUAAUAUAAAAUAAGACUAGAAUUUAUAUUCUAAAGAGAGAUGAGGUAGCUCUGUUCACUUUUGAGAGGGAACUCAAAUGAGAGAGACACCUUUGACCUAAAGGUGUCAGGAAACCAGAUGAAGAAAAACACCCCUGCUAUGAUUUGAAUGUUUUUAUCCUCUCCAAAAUUCAUGUUGAAACUUACUCCCCAGUGCAGUAGUGUUGGAAGGCAGGGUCUAAUGGGAUUUAUGGAGGUCAUUAGGCUCUGCCGUCAUGAAUGGAUUAAUGUUGUAAGCCAAAAAAUAAAAUUCCAAGCCCCCCUCCCCCCCCCCACCAUAUGAAUAGACCCCUCCUCUCAGCCAAGGGCAUUCCAAAGUUAAUUUGAAAAAUGAGUUCGGGCCAUGAUGGGAAGCAGAAGCUGGACUUGCCUCAUUAUACCCUCCUCCCUUCUGGAAUUAGUGAUAGAACAGACUCUUUAAGUCUGAUAAGAAACAUUUACAGUCUGUUAUCUCUGGAGGUUUCAUCUGCAUGGUAAAACCUUGAGUUCCACAACCCCAGACAUUCUUUUCUAUUGACAAUAACUCUUUAAAUCAAUUGGCAAUCAGAAAUCUGGAAACUUUCUGUAUCAGUGUACAUCUUAUAUGUAUUGAUUGAUGUCUCAUGUCUCCCUAAAAUGUAUAAAACCAAGCUGAACCCUAACCACCCUGGGCAUGUCCUCAGGAUCUCCUGAGAGCUGUGUCAGGGGCCACUGGUCACCAUAUUUGGCUCAGAGUAAAUCUCUUCAAAUAUUUUACAGAGUUUGACUCUUCGUCAACAAUGCCAUUGUAAAAGGUUCAUGGAGAGAUUCUGCAUGUGCUUGCAUGCUCUUUCUCUCUCUCUCUUUCUUUCUCUCCCCCCACCCCCACCCUCCACCACCCUGCCCUUUACCUUCUGUCAUGUGAGGUUGCAGUCCCUGCCCUUUACCUUCUGUCAGGUGAGGAUGCAGUAUCCAAGGCACCAUCUUGAACUCAUUAUCGCCAAAUAUGUCAGCACCUUGAUGUUGGACUUCCCAACCUCCAGACCGUAAGGCAGUACAUUUCUUUGUAAAUUACGCAGUCUCAGCUAUUCUGUUACAGCAGCACAAAUGGACUAAGACAACCCCUGAGAUAGGAAGGGGUAAGGUAAAUGCAAUGAGAGUUGGGGUUUUCGAUCUUAGUCCAGUAAAGGAGCUGGAACUGUUCUGUAUAAUCAAAAGGCAAGGUAAUUGCUACAUAGAUUAUUUUCUUAUUAUUGCUGAUUCUUAUCCUAAAAUAAAGGACGUUGCCACUACACAUCCUCUAGAAUGACCAAAAAUAAAAAUACUGACAGCAUCAAAUGGGAUGACAUGGUGCCAGCUGGAAUUCUCAUACCUUGCUGAUGGGAGUAUAAUGUGGUACAGUCACUUUGGAAAAAAGUUUGACAAUUUCUUAUAAAAUUAUACAUAAACCUGUACUAUGACCUA